rnacentral:rRNA from 1 species
UACGAAGGGGGCUAGCGUUGCUCGGAUUGACUGGGCGUGAAGGGCGCGUAGGCGGUUCGUACAGUCAGACGUGAAAUUCCUGGGCUCAACCUGGGGGCUGCGUUUGAUACGUGCGGACUUGAGUGCGGAAGAGGGUCGUGGAAUUCCCAGUGUAGAGGUGAAAUUCGUAGAUAUUGGGAAGAACACCGGUGGCGAAGGCGGCGACCUGGUCCGAUACUGACGCUGAGGCGCGAAAGCGUGGGGAGCAAACAGG